AUUGAACGCUGGCGGCAUGCUUUACACAUGCAAGUCGAACGGUAACAGGCCGCAAGGUGCUGACGAGUGGCGAACGGGUGAGUAAUGCAUCGGAACGUGCCCAGUCGUGGGGGAUAACUACUCGAAAGAGUAGCUAAUACCGCAUACGAUCUAUGGAUGAAAGCGGGGGACCGUAAGGCCUCGCGCGAUUGGAGCGGCCGAUGUCAGAUUAGGUAGUUGGUGGGGUAAAGGCUCACCAAACCAACGAUCUGUAGCUGGUCUGAGAGGACGACCAGCCACACUGGGACUGAGACACGGCCCAGACUCCUACGGGAGGCAGCAGUGGGGAAUUUUGGACAAUGGGCGCAAGCCUGAUCCAGCAAUGCCGCGUGCAGGAAGAAGGCCUUCGGGUUGUAAACUGCUUUUGUACGGAACGAAACGGCUCUGGUUAAUACCCGGGGCUAAUGACGGUACCGUAAGAAUAAGCACCGGCUAACUACGUG
rnacentral:rRNA from 1 species